rnacentral:rRNA from 1 species
AUAGGUUAAUGAGGCGAACCGGGGGAACUGAAACAUCUAAGUACCCCGAGGAAAAGAAAUCAACCGAGAUUCCCCCAGUAGCGGCGAGCGAACGGGGAGGAGCCCAGAGCCUGAAUCAGUGUGUGUGUUAGUGGAAGCGUCUGGAAAGGCGCGCGAUACAGGGUGACAGCCCCGUACACAAAAAUGCACAUAUUGUGAGCUCGAUGAGUAGGGCGGGACACGUGGUAUCCUGUCUGAAUAUGGGGGGACCAUCCUCCAAGGCUAAAUACUCCUGACUGACCGAUAGUGAACCAGUACCGUGAGGGAAAGGCGAAAAGAACCCCGGCGAGGGGAGUGAAAAAGAACCUGAAACCGUGUACGUACAAGCAGUGGGAGCCUCUUAAUGGGGUGACUGCGUACCUUUUGUAUAAUGGGUCAGCGACUUAUAUUCUGUAGCAAGGUUAACCGAAUAGGGGAGCCGAAGGGAAACCGAGUCUUAACUGGGCGUUAAGUUGCAGGGUAUAGACCCGAAACCCGGUGAUCUAGCCAUGGGCAGGUUGAAGGUUGGGUAACACUAACUGGAGGACCGAACCGACUAAUGUUGAAAAAUUAGCGGAUGACUUGUGGCUGGGGGUGAAAGGCCAAUCAAACCGGGAGAUAGCUGGUUCUCCCCGAAAGCUAUUUAGGUAGCGCCUCGUGAAUUCAUCUCCGGGGGUAGAGCACUGUUUCGGCAAGGGGGUCAUCCCGACUUACCAACCCGAUGCAAACUGCGAAUACCGGAGAAUGUUAUCACGGGAGACACACGGCGGGUGCUAACGUCCGUCGUGAAGAGGGAAACAACCCAGACCGCCAGCUAAGGUCCCAAAGUCAUGGUUAAGUGGGAAACGAUGUGGGAAGGCCCAGACAGCCAGGAUGUUGGCUUAGAAGCAGCCAUCAUUUAAAGAAAGCGUAAUAGCUCACUGGUCGAGUCGGCCUGCGCGGAAGAUGUAACGGGGCUAAACCAUGCACCGAAGCUGCGGCAGCGACGCUUAUGCGUUGUUGGGUAGGGGAGCGUUCUGUAAGCCUGUGAAGGUGUGCUGUGAGGCAUGCUGGAGGUAUCAGAAGUGCGAAUGCUGACAUAAGUAACGAUAAAGCGGGUGAAAAGCCCGCUCGCCGGAAGACCAAGGGUUCCUGUCCAACGUUAAUCGGGGCAGGGUGAGUCGACCCCUAAGGCGAGGCCGAAAGGCGUAGUCGAUGGGAAACAGGUUAAUAUUCCUGUACUUGGUGUUACUGCGAAGGGGGGACGGAGAAGGCUAUGUUGGCCGGGCGACGGUUGUCCCGGUUUAAGCGUGUAGGCUGGUUUUCCAGGAAAAUCCGG